rnacentral:rRNA from 1 species
UACGUAGGGUCCAAGCGUUAUCCGGAAUCACUGGGCGUAAAGCGUGCGUAGGCGGGUGUUUAAGUGCAAUGCGAAAUCCUGUGGCUCAACCAUAUGGACUGUAUUGCAUACUGGAUACCUGGAGGAAUGCAGAGGCAAGUGGAAUUACUGGUGUAGCAGUGAAAUGCGUAGAUAUCAGUAGGAACACCAAUGGCGAAGGCAGCUUGCUGGGCAUUUUCUGACGCUAAGGCACGAAAGCGUGGGGAGCAAACAGG